GUCUUGGUAGCUCAGAUGGAAGAGCACCGGGCUUGCGAUCCGGUGGUCGUGGGAUCAAGUCCUACCCAAGACA